GCCUCGGUGGUGCAGUGGUAGAGCACGCGUCCCCGAAUGGGAUGCGACGCGGGUCCAAUUCCCGCUUAGGUCU